rnacentral:lncRNA from 1 species
GGUAGAGGCCUCCUACUCCAGGAAGCUUUCCUGCUUCCGCAGGCCCUUUCUGGCCUGUAGAGACUCUCCGCCUUGCCCUGCUUUGACUUGGGAAGACAAGAAGAUUGGCAGAAGACCUGUUCCCGAGUUUUUCGUAAGUGUUCAUUAAGACUCAUACCUGUCAUUCAAGCCUAGAAUGGUUCAAUAGAAGGAACGGCAAGAGAACAAGCUUAAAAUCACCAAGAUCUAGAUUUUCAUCUAAAUUCCUGGUCCUUGCUUCAUCUAGAAAAUUACUGGAAC